rnacentral:rRNA from 1 species
GACGGAGGAUGCUAGCGUUAUCAGGAAUGAUUGGGCGUAAAGCGUUCGCAGGUGGCUGUUUAAGUCUGCUGUCAAAGACUGGAGCUUAACCCUAGUAAGGCAGUGGAAACUGAACGGCUGGAGUGCAGUAGGGGUAGAGGGAAGUACCAGUGUAGCGGUGAAAUGAGUAGAGAUUGGGAAGAACACCGGUUGCGAAAGCGGUCUGCCGGACUGCAACUGACACUGAGGGACGAAAGCUAGGGGAGCGAAAGGG